AGUUCCUGUAACUGUGAAGCACUGAACAAACGGUACUGGGAGACACAGCAGUCAGAGGGACAGAUCAGGUACGGCUGUUGUGCAACUAUUGGCACAAUGCAGUCACAUCAAACAUUAGCUAACUGAGGCAGGACGAUUACUGACGGCAAACCUUUAAAGCUGCUGCCACAGUCGUGUGUUCAGACGUGUAUCUGACGAAUUUCUGGUCAGGAUGCAGACUCUUGGACUUGCUUUGCUUUUUGUGCUAAGUGUAUUAACAGACUUGGAAAAAGCAGAAGAGCUUUAUAGCAGACCAGUCCUAAAAGUCUUGCCAAGUGCCUCGGUGUGGUCUGGAGAGGCUGUGACCCUGCAGUGCUUGGUGGAAAGAAAGCAGUGAUAUGUGCAACUGAAGUACAGCUUCUUCAAAGACUCAAAGGGGCUCAGGUACACUGGCUUGAAACCAACUCUAAAGAUUGGCUCAGCCAAUGCACCCAGUGUUGGGAAGUAUCACUGUGAGGCAGAGCAUGAAGAAGAGGGCAUGAGGAGAAAGAGUGUUCCUGUUAUACUUAAUGUGGAAAGGGGAAAACCAAAGCCUGUGAUGACUGCAAAGGACAGAAAAUUAAUUAAUGGGAAUGUCAUAAAAGUUUUACUAGGCGAAAGCUUCACUCUGAAAUGUGAGAUUCCAAAAGAACACUGGAUGGAAGUACACUUGGCGUAACUUUGACGACAACCUUCAAGCUGAUGGGUGUCAAGAAACUGGCCAGACAUACUCAGUGAGCUUUGUAAAGGAAUCCCAUGGGGGAAUAUAUUGGUGCCAGGGUCACAGGGGAGCCUUUUAUUCAGAUUUCAGUGACCCUCUGGCUGUGCAAGUUGUCUAUGAUAGGAGGGAAUACAACUGAGUUCUGGAAAGAAAUAUCUAAUCAGAAGAUCAGUUAAAGAGAUAAGAACAACAACAACAUUUAUUUAUAUAGCACAUUUUCACACAAAAAGUAGCUCAAAGUGCUUUACAUACUGAAGAAAAGAAAAAUAAAAGACAAAAUAAGAAAUUAAAAUAAGGCAACAUUAGUUAACAUAGAAUGAAUGAAUGAAGAAGAAUGAGAAACUGAACUGAGUGAACUGGGAUUCAGUCUGGGCAAACCUGGCAAUCAUCUUAGGUAUCACAUUGCUUUUUGUUUUAGCCAUUUUGAAGCAUGGUGAUAAAAGCAUCUGGAAGGUGUUCUGUUCUCUGUGCCUGCGUACAACUACAUCAAACAUUCAAGUGGAUUAUGGGAAGUUUAUCUAAAGAAACUCAUAUGGACACCUCUAUCAUGAUGAGUCUUCUGCUGACAUAUUUUGUUUAAAGACGUAAUUAGGUUUACUGUAGUCAUUCAUGAUCCAAAACAAAUUAAGAACAGUUCUUUAACUACCACAUCAAACUGUAGUUCGAUGAACCACUUCCGGAUUUUUAAAAAAUGUAAUUUUUAAAAAAUCCCUUAAAUUGCUUUGCCUGACUGAGAAAGGCAUUUUGUAUUUGGUUAACACUAUUGAAAUGGAAGUGCUGAAGGAAGUUCCUCCAUUUUAACAGAAAGAGAAAUUUACACCAGAAUUUCAUGUUCUGUCUUUGUUAAAAUGUUUUAAGGUUUUAUCCCCAAAAUAUGAGGUGAGACACAAAAAUAACCGGAUUGGUAAAAAAAAAUAUUUGUUGAUGAGUUACAGCAUUCUAAACAUUGUCACCUUCUAAAUACUCCCCUUCCCGAUCUCCACACUGCUCCAUACGUAUCUUCCAUUGAUUGAAACAGUGCUGGAAGUUUUCUUGCUUGAGGCUCUUCAACAGGUUUGCUGUUUUUGUCUUCACUUCAUCCUUUGAAGAAAAGUGUGUUCCCUUCAGGUGACUUUUGAUUUUCGGGAACAAGUAAAAAUCACAUGGAGCUAAAUUGGGCGAAUAGGGAGGAUGAUCGAGGACAGGAAUGAUUUUUUUCAGUCAAAAACAGCUUUAUGGAAAAAGAGAAAAUUCGUGAGAAAUUUAAUGUUGAUUCGCUGUUCGAUGUUUUCACCCGACAUUAUCGUGGCAACUCGUGUAGCGAUUGUUGUGCAAAUACUGACUGGGCUAUUCACAGGAUAUACCUAGCCAGUCGGCGGUUUGAGAGGGCGUGUAGGAGGGGAUAGAGUUCUAUGAUUCACAUCUGGCUGACCUCCAGACGGUUUUCCAUGAAAGCCACAAGCCCGGUCCAGUUAUUUUUGUGUCUCACCUCGUAUGAGAUGCUAUUUUCCAGCAGUACUGUAUCUGUAAACUGACCCCUCAAGCUGCAAAUGUUUACAAUCAUUAUACAAUAAAUCCAAGAAGACUGGGAAACAUGCAA